rnacentral:tRNA from 1 species
GAGGGUGUAGCUCAGUGGUAGAGUGCAUGCUUAGCAUACACAAGGUCCUGGGUUCAAUCCCCAGUACCCCCU